UACGUAGGGUGCGAGCGUUGUCCGGAAUUAUUGGGCGUAAAGGGCGCGUAGGCGGCUGAACAAGUCAAAGGUGAAAUCCCUCGGCUCAACUGAGGAACUGCCUUUGAAACUGUUCGGCUUGAGGCCGGGAGGGGGUAGCGGAAUUCCCAGUGUAGCGGUGAAAUGCGUAGAUAUUGGGAGGAACACCAGUGGCGAAGGCGGCUACCUGGACCGGUUCUGACGCUGAGGCGCGAAAGCGUGGGUAGCAAACAGG
rnacentral:rRNA from 1 species